rnacentral:lncRNA from 1 species
GGAUUGAAGGCGUGAUCUCCUCUUGUAAUUUUUUCUUUUUUAUAGUAAAGCUUGCAUGCCUUGUAGAGACGAACUUUUUGGCCGAUCCACGUAUUUGAUUAUAUUUCUGUUUUGUUUCUUCUUUCUUCCUGCUGCGAUGCAUGGUAUCGAAAAAGUUCUGUGGAGGUGGUGUCCUGACCAGACAUUCCCAACAAGUGGUAUCAGAGUGAGGCGGU